UACCAUCUUCCAUGUCUAAGCCGAAUUGGUACAUCAUUAACUGCUUCGUUGAGUGCUUCUUCAAUGUUCGUGUGAAAGCAACCGAGUUCGAACGUAUCCUCGUAGAAAGGCAGUGUUACCUUUAGAGAAAUGCAGCCACCAAAUUUCUCUGAGUCGAGUGAAAUGUCCCGGAUAGUCACACAACCUUCUGUUGUCGGCACAAUAGAGUGGCAAAAAGAAACGUGUUUCACUAAAACAGAAAUGAUAUACUUAUAAAAUUUACAUUUCAGGUCACACUGAUCAUCACGUCAUAAUGCUGAAAUAAUGUCGUCAAAAGUGACGUUACAAUGCUGAAUUGACGUUAUCAAGURUUGCAAUACUAAAAUGGCGUCAUCAACAUUGACGUUACUAAAAUGACGUCAUUCAGAGUUAUGUUACCAUACAUGAUUUUUUCACGCUCGCCUUUGUUUCUCCAUUCCAAACCAAUGAAACCUGUACAGCCUGAAAGGAAAAGAAAAUAUGCUUAAAUGUAAGAACCUCAAAGUGAAGCAAUUGAAAUGGACAGAUUUACGUACAUUUUCGUCAGGAAGCGCUCUGGCAUCGAUACACGCUGGAAGAAACGGACAAGUCGGGAUUAAAUGAUCACCAGUUAAUACUUUGUGAAUCAACAGUUAAUACUUUGUGAAUCAACAGUUCAUACUUUGUGAAUCAACAGUUAAUACUUUGUGUUUAACCGAUUAUUUAGGUUUACCUUCUCCUUGGAGUAUUUUAACGUCAACAUUCAGGCAACAUUCACAUAUCUUCGCCACUUGCACUUGCCAUACCUGUGAUUAAAUGGACAUCGAUCUAAAAGGGUGGGCGAGUACCGCGGAACACUAGUAACGCAGGCUGCGGUUGAUGUAUCAAAAGCACUUACCGGAAGAAAUUUCAUCGUCAUCAUCAUCAUCGUCCUGCUCAGCUUAAAACAAUAAUUAAUAGUAGGAAUUAUUGUUAUUGAGUAAAAUAUAUUUCUAAAGGAAUAACCUUAGAGCAGGCUGUAAUAUGUAUAGGUGAUGUAGCUGUUAACGAGUUUAUAGAUUGUUUAUUUAGCUUAUAAAAAAUGCCGGUGGUCCAUUGAAUUAACCUUUUCCAGGAGUCCUGAAUAUUAAUUCUUUAAAGCUUAUCGCUGAUUAAUUAGUGCAAUAUAAUAAUUCAAGAUAAUUUGUUUUGCGCUUCUCUUUGCACUUUUAAUACUGUUCUUUUGCGGUUUCUAUUUUUUUGCCAAUUAAACACCAAUUAGAAUUGAUUGAAAGGUUAACUACUUCAAAACAAAAAACAAAACAAAAAACGGUUUAACUGAUUUAUUGCUAUAAAUUGUAGCUUACCAUCUUCGUUCAAAUCACUUUCAGAUGUUUGUUCCUUGUCGUCUUUCUUGUCAGAUAAAUCGACAUCUUGCUCUUCAUUUUUGGAMACUUUUUUAUGCUUCGACUUACAUUGAGCUAAAACAGCCAAGCAGCUUCCAAUAAGGAGCAAAAUGAAAAUGUACUUCAUUUUAGCAAUGCCUUAAGUAGUCAGRAGACCUGUUUGACAAGAGAAUCAAGCUGUGCUCGUCCAAGAGUUGAGAGCGAUUUUGAAUUCAGAAUUUUUUAAGCAUGUAUAUAGGUAGAUAGAUGGUACGUUUCAAUGCAUCGGUAUCCUUUUUGAAAUUCUUUUUUUUUUUUGUGAACGCUUUCAAUAAUGCAAUACCUUCAAAUGGAAAAUUGUUAAUUUCUAGAAACAAAUGCUUUCGCUGAUACCUCUAACGAUUCUGGGGGUGUGAAUAUUCAUAACAUUCUUAGCAAAAAAGUUCGAUAAACUAUAAAUUUAUUUAAUUGCUUUUAAACGCCAAUGUGACAGAUAGUAAACGAUUUAAUUUCACGGGUUGAACCUGUCARAGCUACAAGCCCAAGUUUGGUACCCACYCCAUACGCUUGCUCGGUCGGGUAAAUACGAAACUAGUUUAUUCCGCCGUCUUAUGGUUUAUAAUCAGUACCACCUAAUUGAAAUCCGAAUUCUAGAACUGAGAAAUUAUGUUCAGCUCGCCUGUGCUUUGAAUUAAUGUCCAACCUUUCUUUAGUUCCAUUGUACACAUUUUUACACAUUUUUUUUUUAAUGACAGAGUUACAUAGUGCUAUGAUGCGAUGAAGUGUAAAGUUACCGAUGAAUCUCUGUAAUGAUGGAAGAUUUGCUUAUUAUGAACAAAAAUGUCGAAAAAGGUUGUCGAAAUGYUAUUGUAUAAAAUAACAUUGUAGGACGGCAAGUGAUUGUGGGUAAUUGGUAAUAGAAUAAAAUUCCGAGAAUAUGUUAAAAGAUGUUUCUAAUAAAUACACGGCAAAAACUAGAACCAUCUAGUGGGUCUAUCWMGCUCAAUCSUCAGGGAGAGAUCUCACAGCUUGCUCCGCUUGGUAGACGAUCAAAUGCGCGUCUUUUUCAUUCUAAGCUUUGUUUAUUUGUCUGGGGUUUUUUUACAUGUAAGACAUUUAUAGCUAGGAUGCCUGUGUUAUGUUUGUCUUUAUUGCUUU